CGCAGCCGCGGUAAUUCCAGCUCCAAUAGCGUAUAUUAAAGUUGUUGCAGUUAAAAAGCUCGUAGUUGAAUUUCGGGAUCAAUAUUUCGGUCAUGCCGUUGGUAUGCACUGUUAUCAUUGAUUUCUCACCUUCUAAAGAACCGUAAUGCCAUUAAUUUGGUGUUACGGGGAAUUAGGACUGUUACCUUGAAAAAUUAGAGUGUUUAAAGCAGGCUCACGCUUGAAUACAUUAGCAUGGAAUAAUGAAAUAGGACAUCCGAUUCUAUUUUGUUGGUUUCUAGGAUCGAUGUAAUGAUUAAUAGGGAUAGUUGGGGGCAUUAGUAUUCAAUUGUCAGAGGUGAAAUUCUUGGAUUUAUUGAAGACUAACUACUGCGAAAGCAUUUGCCAAGGAUGUUUUCAUUAAUCAAGAACGAAAGUUAGGGGAUCGAAGACGAUCAGAUACCGUCGUAG
rnacentral:rRNA from 1 species